GACGAACGCUGGCGGCGUGCUUAACACAUGCAAGUCGAACGGAAAGGCCCUGCUUUUGUGGGGUGCUCGAGUGGCGAACGGGUGAGUAACACGUGAGUAACCUGCCCUUGACUUUGGGAUAACUUCAGGAAACUGGGGCUAACACCGGAUAGGAGCUCCUGCUGCAUGGUGGGGGUUGGAAAGUUUCGGCGGUUGGGGAUGGACUCGCGGCUUAUCAGCUUGUUGGUGGGGUAGUGGCUUACCAAGGCUUUGACGGGUAGCCGGCCUGAGAGGGUGACCGGCCACAUUGGGACUGAGAUACGGCACAGACUCCUACGGGAGGCAGCAGUGGGGAAGAUUGCACAAUGGGCGGAAGCCUGAUGCAGCAACGCAGCGUGCGGGAUGACGGCCUUCGGGUUGUAAACCGCUUUCGCCUGUGACGAAGCGUGAGUGACGGUAAUGGGUAAAGAAGCACCGGCUAACUACGUG
rnacentral:rRNA from 1 species